GUGAGGAAUAUUGGUCAAUGGACGAGAGUCUGAACCAGCCAAGUCGCGUGAAGGAAGACGGUUCUAUGAAUUGUAAACUUCUUUUGUGCAGGAAUAAAGUGGGUUACGUGUAACCUUUUGUAUGUACUGUACGAAUAAGGAUCGGCAAACUCCGUGCCAGCAGCCGCGGUAAUACGGAGGGUGCAAGCGUUAAUCGGAAUCACUGGGCGUAAAGCGCGCGUAGGCGGCCUUGUAUGUCGAUUGUGAAAGCCCCGGGCGCAACCUGGGAGCUGCAGUCGAAACUGCAAGGCUUGAAUGUUGGAGAGAUUGGGGGAAUACCUAGUGGAGAAGGGAAAUUCGUAGAGAUUAGGUGGAAAACCAGAGGCGAAGGCGCCUGACUGGCCAAACAUUGACGCUGAGGCGCGAAAGCGUGGGUAGCAAACAGGAUUAGAAACCCGUGUAGUCC
rnacentral:rRNA from 1 species